rnacentral:rRNA from 1 species
GGCUCAGGACGAACGCUGGCGGCGUGCUUAACACAUGCAAGUCGAACGCUGAAGCUUGGUGCUUGCACUGGGUGGAUGAGUGGCGAACGGGUGAGUAAUACGUGAGUAACCUGCCCUUGACUCUGGGAUAAGCCUGGGAAACUGGGUCUAAUACUGGAUAYGACAUGUCACCGCAUGGUGGUGUGUGGAAAGGGUUUUACUGGUUUUGGAUGGGCUCACGGCCUAUCAGCUUGUUGGUGGGGUAAUGGCUCACCAAGGCGACGACGGGUAGCCGGCCUGAGAGGGUGACCGGCCACACUGGGACUGAGACACGGCCCAGACUCCUACGGGAGGCAGCAGUGGGGAAUAUUGCACAAUGGGCGGAAGCCUGAUGCAGCGACGCCGCGUGAGGGAUGACGGCCUUCGGGUUGUAAACCUCUUUCAGCACGGAAGAAGCGAAAGU